rnacentral:lncRNA from 1 species
UUUGUGUUGUGCUUAUGUUAUGUAUUGUUGUAGGAGGUUUGAAAUGGAGGAAAGUCUAGUUCCAAUAGCUAUCCAACCUCAAGUAGAAAUGAGUGGUUAUGUGAUGAAGAGUAAUAGAAGAUUCUUAGCCUCAUGUUUGUUUGACUAUGAGUGUUUGAGAGACUAACCUGUAUAGUAGUUCGGGUGACAUGUUGUUUCAUCACACUUGCAUAGGUCCUCCAAUAGUUCAAC